rnacentral:rRNA from 1 species
CCUACGGGCGGCAACAGUGAGGAAUAUUGGUCAAUGGGCGCGAGCCUGAACCAGCCAAGUAGCGUGAAGGAUGACUGCCCUACGGGUUGUAAACUUCUUUUAUAAAGGAAUAAAGUGAGGCACGUGUGCCGUUUUGUAUGUACUUUAUGAAUAAGGAUCGGCUAACUCCGUGCCAGCAGCCGCGGUAAUACGGAGGAUCCGAGCGUUAUCCGGAUUUAUUGGGUUUAAAGGGAGCGUAGAUGGGUUGUUAAGUUAGUGGUGAAAGUUUGCGGCUCAACCGUAAAAUUGCAAUUGAUACUGGUGGUCUUGAGUACAGUUGAGGUAGGCGGAAUUCGUGGUGUAGCGGUGAAAUGCUUAGAUAUCACGCAGAACUCCGAUUGCGAAGGCAGCUUACUAAACUGCCACUGACAUUGAUGCACGAAAGUGUGGGUAUCAAACAGGAUUAGAUACCCGGGUAGUC